UGAGGCCAACUGCUGCAGAUCCGAAACAUGUAGCUCCAGAUCCAGAAACAUCCAUGGCGAGAACAACCACAGGACACAGGACUUCAGGGGAAACACAGAGUUAAUGGCAUGUAAUGGUGAUAUAUAUAACAGCACUCAGAGAGAAGAGCCCAGUGCAUCAUGGGAAUCUCCUGGCAAGCGACCCAGCUGCCCGGAUCUCCUCCCGUCCUGCCUUCCCCCUUGUGCUCCUCUCCGGAUUCCCCUCUUGGUUUCCCUCCUGGACCCCCGGAUCCUCCUGCCGCCUCACCGCCCCGGACCACCAGCGCCUGGCUUCCCUCCUCUGGCAUCCCAGCCUUCUGCCUGCCUGCCGCUGCGAGCGUCCACGCUCUCACUACCGCCACACUCAGUUCCGCCCAGAUCUCUCGCUGACUGCUGAUCCCUGGCUCCGUCACUCCGUCCCCAGACUCCUCUCCUCCAUACCAUCCCGGAUCCCUCUCCUGGCUCCCCACCCCUCCGCAACUCCCCCACUCUUCCCAUAAUAAAACCUUCAUUCAG